UGUUUGCAAAAGAAAACAGAAAGACAUAUCCACGAUUGAAAAAUGAAACUCUAUUCUGCCAUUCGUUUCAUAAUGCUAAUUGCCCUCUUUGCAGCAAAUAUUUUUGGAGUGCAUAAUCAUUUGGUCAAGGCAGACGUGGACUAUCCGGUAACACGAAAUUUGAGAGCCAAGCCAAGUUCUCCACCUCCUCCUAGAAGAGCAUCACCUUUGCAAUUUAAAAGUCCUCCACCUUCUCCAAGAAGAGCACCACCGCCUGUGCACUGUAAAAGUCCUCCACCACGUCGUUCUAGAAGAUCGCCGCCUCCGCAACAUAAAAGGGCUUAUCUGCCACCACCUCCUUCUAUACGCUUUUAACUUUCAAGUUGAUUUUCUAUACGCUGUUCAUCUAUAUGUUGUGACAGUGUUCAUGUAUGCUAGUUAUAAAUUUGUGAGUGAACAUCAUAAUUGAGUUUGUUGAAUUUUUAUGGGUGUGUGGAUGUAAAGCUUUUAUAAAAGUUUAGUUGAUUCUGUUCUUAA